UACGUAGGGCGCGAGCGUUGUCCGGAAUUAUUGGGCGUAAAGAGCUCGUAGGCGGUUUGUCGCGUCUGCCGUGAAAACUGGAGGCUCAACCUCCAGCCUGCGGUGGGUACGGGCAAACUAGAGUGCGGUAGGGGAGAUUGGAAUUCCUGGUGUAGCGGUGGAAUGCGCAGAUAUCAGGAGGAACACCGAUGGCGAAGGCAGAUCUCUGGGCCGUAACUGACGCUGAGGAGCGAAAGCAUGGGGAGCGAACAGG
rnacentral:rRNA from 1 species